GUUUGCAUGUGUAUGUGUGCACACAUGCCUGUGUAUGCACGUGUGUAUGUGUGUGCAUUUGUGCAUGUGUGUUCAUGUGUGCAUGUGUAUGUGCGUGUGGUGGUGAUGAUAGUUGAACAGUCCUGCAGCCCUGGUCCCAUCUGGCCUAUUCCCAACUUGGACUGGCUUCCUGGGGUGGACAUGGACAGGAAAAGAUGCCAGACUCAUAGAGAACCCCUUCUUCCUCCACACCAGAUUGGGUGGGGGGUGGGGAGGCUUUCACCUUAGCAAUAGGCAAUGGUUGAAAUAUCAUUUCCAGGGUGACAUGACAUGAUGUUUGGGAUUUACUUCGAAAGAACAGGGGUGAAGCGGGGGAUACAGAUGAAACAAGACUGGCUCAGUUGAUAAUUGUUGAAGCUGGCUGUUGGGUACCAGGGGUUCCACUAAACUAUUUUCUCUACUUCUGUGUAUGUUUGAAAUGUCCUGGAACAACAAUAAAACACUUAUGUCAUCUC
rnacentral:lncRNA from 1 species